CUAUGUCUCACUCAGAUUCCCUGGCACUCCUUUUGGGACAUGGGAAAUGCUCUAUUCUCUCUUGCUCUUCUCUGUGGCCUCAGAAGACUUACUGGAGCUAUCGAGGGCUUUUUCUGCUUCCUGCUGCUCAGCCCCUGUUUCACGUCAAGGAAGAGCUCCCCUUCAGAAAAAAACCGAGAGUCAUCAUUUGCCUGCUCAACUAUGAAUAAAGUUCCGUGUACGUUCUCUCUGCUCACUUCUUUCAGAGGCACUUCUGGCUCACGAAACUCUUCAGCUAAGUUGUUGGGGAAUUUGCUGAGUGUCAAAACAUGAAUUAAACCAGAAGAGAUAUGAUA